GGAGGCAGCAGUGGGGAAUCUUGGCGCAAUGGCCGAAAGGCUGACGCAGCGACGCCGCGUGUGGGAGGACGCCUUUCGGGGUGUAAACCACUGUUGCCCGGGACGAAUAUCCCAUUUUGAUGGGAUUGACGGU
rnacentral:rRNA from 1 species